rnacentral:rRNA from 1 species
GCACAAGCGGUGGAGCAUGUGGUUAAUUCGACGCAACGCGAAGAACCUUACCAGGGCUUGACAUCCCCUGACCGCGUAUGAAAGUACGUUUUCACCCUCGGGUGACAGGGAGACAGGUGGUGCAUGGUUGUCGUCAGCUCGUGUCGUGAGAUGUUGGGUUAAGUCCCGCAACGAGCGCAACCCCUACGUUUAGUUGCUAACAGGUGAAGCUGAGCACUCUAGACGAACUGCCGUUGACAAAACGGAGGAAGUGGGAUGACGUCAAAUCAUCAUGCCCCUUAUGUUCUGGGCUACACACGUGCUACAAUGGCCGGUACAGACGGAGGCGAAGCCGCGAGGCGGAGCAAAUCCGAAAAAGCCGGUCUCAGUUCGGAUUGCAGGCUGCAAUUCGCCUGCAUGAAGUCGGAAUCGCUAGUAAUCGCAGGUCAGCAUACUGCGGUGAAUACGUUCCCGGGCCUU